UUAGAGCUCAACAAGAACUCUAAUCCCUUGUAAUGGAGUUUAUAUGUAACACUUCCGAUCAUAGUGAAACUCCGUAGAUGUAGACUUCAUUAAUGGCCGAACCACGUAAAAAACUUUGUGUUCAUGUUUACUUUGAUGCACUUCUUCUCUUACUUGUUAGUAGAUCUUCAUCUUAAGUGUUGGAUUCAAAGUGGGUGUGAUUAUUAGAUUUUUAGCAACUACAUUCUGACGCCGACUCAGGGGACCGAUAAUCACAAAUAUGUGUAGUAACUGAUGUUCCAGUGAAGCUAGUAACUAGUUGUUUAGUUUCAAAUUUUUGAGUAGUUCCAGCGGAAGUUAGUACUGAUCUACCGCCUAGAGAGACUGAAGUGCGAGGGGUAAAUAUGGAACUUUGUCCAAAGAAAGUUAUCUUCAGACAACAUGCAACAGAAACAUUCCGGGGAGAAAACAUCAGAAGUUCUGUGUGGGUGCAUCAGAGAUACAAAGAGAACCUCGACAAAAUUGGAAACAUAGAUACUUUGGCGAAGAACAAAUCCAAAACAGGACGAAUCUUCUUCUCAUUUAUCUCUUAUUUUGUUUGUUAACACUUCGAUCUAAAAGUUUUGAGUACAAAUUUUCAAAAGGUUUUAUGGAAAACUAGGGUUUGUUCUUGAGCAAAAAUUGGAUUUUCUUUCAAAAGCUUUACUCGAUUUCUGUUUUGAUGGGAGAUUUGCUAUCAAUAGAUCUAGUUUUACAAACCCAAUUAAGGGAUUUUGAAAACUUUGAAUAGCGAAAUUUGUAGUUGAUUUGGGUAUUUUUCUGCUUGUGACGUAUGGGAUUUUCCUGUCUUGGCUAUUCACUGAAUUGAUUUGCUGCUGCAGUGAAAUUUGAAUGGUGCACGAUGCUGACAGUAGAGGGAGAAUCUUACAGCUGACUUUCCUUGCUGCGAUAUGGACUCCAUCCCACCUCUAGUCUUCAUCAUCGAGAGUUACAGGAAGAUGGAAAUUGUGAAAACACCAGCAAUUUAAUCGGGUCUCAUCAACUGAAUUACGAAGGAGAUCGUCACGGGACAAACUGCCACAAUUGAACAAAGCUUAGAUUAGCUUGUUCAGAUCAUCGACAUCUCGUCAAUUUACCUCGGAUGAAUUCUGGAUUAUAAGCUGCAAUCAGCAUCCGGUCGGCUACUUCAGGGGAGUAUACAUCUCGGGCUCGGUCACAAGAGUCAAAUUCAAGACUCAAUCGAAUUUUGUUCUUUUAAGUAAUUAAAAUUCGUGGAAUCAUAAUCAAGUUGAUCGGGUCUCGGCAUUCAGCUUCGGAAGAGAUCAUCAUCGGGACCAAACACUACAGCUCAAUCAAACUUUGGUGGUUUUAACCAUGUUGAUUCAUAGCAUCAAUCUCGGGUCUGGCCAUUUCUGGGUUCAUCGGUACAUCUCCAACCAAUGACCACCUCGACCAAGUCUGUUCAUAGCAUCAAUGGGAAUUGCAGCAACUAAGCUUCAUGAAAUUCCACAUCGGGGCGAAUCAGUUAACUUGCUCGGAUCACAAUCAUCUCGUGCCAGGUUACAUCGGGAAGAUACCCAAGUAACAGGUCGGAGCUACCUUUUCACCUGCAACACCUAGCUCGGGUCAGUUCAUUUCCUAUCAGGAAAGAUGAACCAUAUCGGACAAGAUAGUCACUUCAGAUCAACUCGGGAAGAUCACAAAAGACUCGCUUCAGGGACUCGGCUCGGUAAAAUCGAGUCCUUCGUUCCAGAAGAGCACACUUUCAUCGGGACGUUCAUCUAUAACAGGGAAACAUUCUUAACUCAUCAAUCCUUGUUCUGCUAGUUAUUUCGGUAAUGCUAUUUAAAAUCCUCCUCAAAUUAGUCUGGUACAAGAAAGAUCGGCUUAAUCAAAGGCAAACCACCUAAGAAAGCAUGAAUACUUUUUGUUUCAGUGUUUCAGAAAAUAAAUCCGAGAUCUUUGACAUAUAGACAGGAAUUGCUUUUAUUACCUGUAGCUAUGAAUUACGGGUUUUCAAUCUUGACUUAAUAUGUAGUCAUCAUAAAAUGAAACCGAAUAAGAAAUACAAGGGAUAUUAUGUGAAAGGGUGAUGUGUCGCUAUAUAGUUUGUGAAGAGACCAGCCACUGUCAAUCCACGUUUAUUCGUUAUGAAUUUGAGCCUUUCAUUUUGAGUAAUCUCAUUAUCGCUCGAUCGGACCUGAAAUUGCAUUUGAAUUCUCAGUGACCCAUUUAGAUUGUGACCAGGAUUAAUUUUUCAAUGUAAUGACAUUUUACUUGAACAUGUCGCUUAUCUUAAUAAUCCUGUGUUGUUAGAGUUAUACCUUAACCAGAGCAUCUACAACAAUGACAUUUAAUGGGGUCAUUUAAUGAUGCAGGGCAUACUACAAUUCCAGAAGAUUCCGCUUAGAGGUGCAUAAAUUCAAUCCCGGGUAUCAAUUGAGAAGAAAAUGACAUUGGAAGUACACACGCGAGCUGCGGGCAAUAACGUAGACUCCAAAGGAUGGGAAGCUUUGCACAUGAAAGCGAAACGAUCCUCUAUGACCAAACCACCAGACUUUACCCACUGAAUUUGUGAAGUAUCUUCCUCUCAGCAUCGUGUAAGAUCAUCUCGGAUGGGGAUUGUCGCCAUUCACCUCAGAAUACAUCGGACUAACUCGAAGAGAAGAACUGAAUAGACGAUCAACUCUGACUGACAUAUCCUUCCUGUAUGGGAUCACCUUGAAUCGCCAUCUCGGAUGUGAUAAUUUCUCCCAACACAACCGAUGUGACAGCUCAACUUUGAAGUUGUGUUGGGAGAACCUUCUCGAAUCAUUCAACGAAAUGGGACAGCCACGCAACAGAGGGUGUAGAAUUCUAGCAUAAUUACGUGUCGCGGUAACAUCAACUAUAUCUCUGAAGUAGAAGUCAGGAUUGAAGCUGACAUCCUGUGUCAAGGGAUGUCGCUUACCAAAGCGCAGGCCAUGGCAUCAGCCAUUGGAAAUAAAAGCUAAGUUCCACCUUUCUCGAACACUUAGUCCAUUCAAUACAACGCUUAUAACGUUCAUAUUUGUUUGUUUAUAAAUUCAAAUCCUAGUGAAUAACCCAAAUCUGAUUUUGCAUGCAAUUGUUAAAAUAGAUCAUGUUAUUUUGAAAACAUUAAGUGCCUGACUUUGGGGAAAAUGGGUAAUGUCGUUAGUGGUACUAUUAUUAUUGGGA